rnacentral:tRNA from 1 species
GGACUCUUAGCUCAGUUGGUAGAGCAGUUGACUCUUAAUCAAUUGGUCCAGGGUUCGAGUCCCUGUGAGUCCAUCA